UCAAUUUCCUCGUGUAGUGGGCAGUGUGUAUUGCUUUUGAAAAUUUUACAUGCAGUUCACACUGGUUGUAUCGUAGUCAUCAGACCGUAUCUGAAGUGAUUUAGAUAGUGUACAUUGCAUUACAAGGCAUGAGUGUGAAAGACAUUUACAAGUGGCUUUAAUAAAUUGUGGAAUGAUGUAGUUGUCAACACAAAGUUAUUGUGGUAAAAUAAUUACAAUUUUGAAUCUUAAUUGACAUCAUUUUAUAACUUUUUAUUCUUUCCAAAUGAGUGAGUUAAAAGCAUGGUGGAUACCUAUGGAACCAUAUCAAAAAGAUGAUACAUUUCAGCUAUGUUAGAUGUCCUUGCAAUUGGAUGGUCCGGCAGGAUUCUGGUCUGAAACACGUUACCCCCCACCAACCCAGGACCCAAACAUUCCUGAAAUAGACAAUACAAAGUUGAUUUUUCUAAAUUGCAAAUGUGCAUGUGAUUCAAUAUCACAGUUGAAAUAAUGUACAACAAAACAAGAAUAAAUGUUCAAAAAACAAAAA